rnacentral:lncRNA from 1 species
AAAGGAUGGUGCACAAUCUCACUGCUCCCUACACCUGCAGCACAGGCAUCACUUGGGAAUCUGUUAAGAAUGCAGUAUCUUGGGCUGCAGAUCCACUGAAUUACAGUAUGAAUUUCAACAAGAUCCCCAGGCAAUUCAGGUGCACAGUAAAGUUUGUGAAGAGCCCUGUGGUGAAGAGAUCCAUACAAGUCCCUCUUCAUUUUUAUCUCCUUUAUUUCUGGCAUUCAGAGUCACUGGCCAAGAGUCUAUUUCAGGACAAAGGGCAAUAAAGCCAGACCAGCCUUCUGAACCAGCCUGCCUUUCACCAUCUGUGCUACAAAGAAUCUUCAGAUACGAAGAUCGGGAUACUUGCGGAGAUGAUUUCAACAAGGUUGUUUAUUCUUCAUUCAACGUGUGCGGGAUUCAGGAGAAUCAUUUGCAUUCUUACAAGAAGGUGCCACCCAGGGGAUUUCAUCACAGGGCCUCAGGGCAUGGACUGCAUAUGAUUUCCGUAUAUAUGAUGAGACUCAGCCUCAAAGUGGAUUCCAAGUAUUGGGCAAUCUCUCUUCAACCGCCUUCCCAAAUGGUACUUUUACUCUACUUUUUACCUGCAUUCAAUGGGCUACCCUUCCCCGUAUUCUCUAGGCGUGGCAUAUUCAUGAAAGGAAGGCAUCUCUUGGAAGUGACAGGAGAUAACAUUCCUGAAGAGUCUACUGACAGGUGCAACCUCAAAGUUCAUCUGAUUCCUGAAAAUAAUUCUUUGCUAGAAGCCAUUGAUGAAAAUGUUUCCACUGGUCAUCUGGAGUCAGAGGUGAUUCUGGGUGGUGGGUCUGAGGUCGGAGGCAUCUAAACUUUUUUUUUUUUUGCUUUUAGGUAUUUAGACAAUACGUUGUUACUUGAUUCAGGUUGGAGAAGUCAGGCCUCCUGAGAAGAUAAAGCCCAGGACACUUGGC